GUGCUCACUUUGGCAGCACAUGUACUAAAAUUGGAACAAUACAGAGAAGAUUAGCAUAGUCCCUGUGCAAGGGUGACAUGCAAAUUCAUGAAUCCUUCCAUAUUUUU
rnacentral:snRNA from 1 species